ACAGAUUGUGUACAUUUGUAAAAGGUUAAACAGUACUAAAGUGACAGCAGCUUUGUCAUUUGUGUCUUUUUCUUUCCUCUGUCUCAGGUCCUGGGCCCAACAUUGUACCAGUAGCUGUGGCUGUGGGACUGACUUUGGCCUUGUUGUUCAUCAUCCUUGUACUGAUCCUGCUGUGGAAGCACAAAUCCAACAAAGGAAAGGACAGAGGCAUACAGCAGAACAGCAAUCAGACACCAGUCCAGAGUCCAUCAGGAGCUGAGAAUUCUCAGUCAGGAAACACACCACUUCAGACCGGAGGUGAGAACAUUUAUGCCACCGUAGACAAUGCAGAUCAUGAUGCUGGAUCCAGUGAUGUAACUUACGCUGAGCUUGAACUGAAGACACAGAAAAAAGCAAAAACAA